rnacentral:rRNA from 1 species
UGUAUAAUGGGUCAGCGACUUAUAUUCUGUAGCAAGGUUAACCGAAUAGGGGAGCCGAAGGGAAACCGAGUCUUAACUGGGCGUUAAGUUGCAGGGUAUAGACCCGAAACCCGGUGAUCUAGCCAUGGGCAGGUUGAAGGUUGGGUAACACUAACUGGAGGACCGAACCGACUAAUGUUGAAAAAUUAGCGGAUGACUUGUGGCUGGGGGUGAAAGGCCAAUCAAACCGGGAGAUAGCUGGUUCUCCCCGAAAGCUAUUUAGGUAGCGCCUCGUGAAUUCAUCUCCGGGGGUAGAGCACUGUUUCGGCAAGGGGGUCAUCCCGACUUACCAACCCGAUGCAAACUGCGAAUACCGGAGAAUGUUAUCACGGGAGACACACGGCGGGUGCUAACGUCCGUCGUGAAGAGGGAAACAACCCAGACCGCCAGCUAAGGUCCCAAAGUCAUGGUUAAGUGGGAAACGAUGUGGGAAGGCCCAGACAGCCAGGAUGUUGGCUUAGAAGCAGCCAUCAUUUAAAGAAAGCGUAAUAGCUCACUGGUCGAGUCGGCCUGCGCGGAAGAUGUAACGGGGCUAAACCAUGCACCGAAGCUGCGGCAGCGACACUAUGUGUUGUUGGGUAGGGGAGCGUUCUGUAAGCCUGUGAAGGUGGCCUGUGAGGGUUGCUGGAGGUAUCAGAAGUGCGAAUGCUGACAUAAGUAACGAUAAAGCGGGUGAAAAGCCCGCUCGCCGGAAGACCAAGGGUUCCUGUCCAACGUUAAUCGGGGCAGGGUGAGUCGACCCCUAAGGCGAGGCCGAAAGGCGUAGUCGAUGGGAAACAGGUUAAUAUUCCUGUACUUGGUGUUACUGCGAAGGGGGGACGGAGAAGGCUAUGUUGGCCGGGCGACGGUUGUCCCGGUUUAAGCGUGUAGGCUGGUUUUCCAGGCAAAUCCGGAAAAUCAAGGCUGAGGCGUGAUGACGAGGCACUACGGUGCUGAAGCGACAAAUGCCCUGCUUCCAGGAAAAGCCUCUAAGCAUCAGGUAACAUCAAAUCGUACCCCAAACCGACACAGGUGGUCAGGUAGAGAAUACCAAGGCGCUUGAGAGAACUCGGGUGAAGGAACUAGGCAAAAUGGUGCCGUAACUUCGGGAGAAGGCACGCUGAUAUGUAGGUGAAGCGACUUGCUCGUGGAGCUGAAAUCAGUCGAAGAUACCAGCUGGCUGCAACUGUUUAUUAAAAACACAGCACUGUGCAAACACGAAAGUGGACGUAUACGGUGUGACGCCUGCCCGGUGCCGGAAGGUUAAUUGAUGGGGUUAGCGGUAACGCGAAGCUCUUGAUCGAAGCCCCGGUAAACGGCGGCCGUAACUAUAACGGUCCUAAGGUAGCGAAAUUCCUUGUCGGGUAAGUUCCGACCUGCACGAAUGGCGUAAUGAUGGCCAGGCUGUCUCCACCCGAGACUCAGUGAAAUUGAACUCGCUGUGAAGAUGCAGUGUACCCGCGGCAAGACGGAAAGACCCCGUGAACCUUUACUAUAGCUUGACACUGAACAUUGAGCCUUGAUGUGUAGGAUAGGUGGGAGGCUUUGAAGUGUGGACGCCAGUCUGCAUGGAGCCGACCUUGAAAUACCACCCUUUAAUGUUUGAUGUUCUAACGUGGGCCCCUUACCGGGGUUGCGGACAGUGUCUGGUGGGUAGUUUGACUGGGGCGGUCUCCUCCUAAAGAGUAACGGAGGAGCACGAAGGUUGGCUAAUCCUGGUCGGACAUCAGGAGGUUAGUGCAAUGGCAUAAGCCAGCUUGACUGCGAGCGUGACGGCGCGAGCAGGUGCGAAAGCAGGUCAUAGUGAUCCGGUGGUUCUGAAUGGAAGGGCCAUCGCUCAACGGAUAAAAGGUACUCCGGGGAUAACAGGCUGAUACCGCCCAAGAGUUCAUAUCGACGGCGGUGUUUGGCACCUCGAUGUCGGCUCAUCACAUCCUGGGGCUGAAGUAGGUCCCAAGGGUAUGGCUGUUCGCCAUUUAAAGUGGUACGCGAGCUGGGUUUAGAACGUCGUGAGACAGUUCGGUCCCUAUCUGCCGUGGGCGCUGGAGAACUGAGGGGGGCUGCUCCUAGUACGAGAGGACCGGAGUGGACGCAUCACUGGUGUUCGGGUUGUCAUGCCAAUGGCACUGCCCGGUAGCUAAAUGCGGAAGAGAUAAGUGCUGAAAGCAUCUAAGCACGAAACUUGCCCCGAGAUGAGUUCUCCCUGACUCCUUGAGAGUCCUGAAGGAACGUUGAAGACGACGACGUUGAUAGGCCGGGUGUGUAAGCGCAGCGAUGCGUUGAGCUAACCGGUACUAAUGAACCGUGAGGCUUAACCUUACAACGCCGAAG